GACGAACGCUGGCGGCGUGCUUAACACAUGCAAGUCGAACGGAAAGGCCCUGCUUUUGUGGGGUGCUCGAGUGGCGAACGGGUGAGUAACACGUGAGUAACCUGCCCUUGACUUUGGGAUAACUUCAGGAAACUGGGGCUAAUACCGGAUAGGAGCUCCUGCUGCAUGGUGGGGGUUGGAAAGUUUCGGCGGUUGGGGAUGGACUCGCGGCUUAUCAGCUUGUUGGUGGGGUAGUGGCUUACCAAGGCUUUGACGGGUAGCCGGCCUGAGAGCGUGACCGGGCACAUUGGGACUGAGAUACGGACCAGACUCGUACGGGAGGCAGCAGUGGGGAAUAUUGCACAAUGGGCGGAAGCCUGAGGCAGCAACGCCGCGUGCGGGAUGACGGCCUUCGGGUUGUAAACAGCUUUCGCCUGUGACGAAGCGUGAGUGACGGUAAUGGGUAAAGAAGCACCGGCUAACUACGUG
rnacentral:rRNA from 1 species